rnacentral:rRNA from 1 species
UACAGAGGUCUCAAGCGUUGUUCGGAUUCAUUGGGCGUAAAGGGUGCGUAGGCGGCGCGGUAAGUCGGGUGUGAAAUCUCGGAGCUUAACUCCGAAACUGCAUUUGAUACUGCCGUGCUUGAGGACUGGAGAGGAGACUGGAAUUUACGGUGUAGCGGUGAAAUGCGUAGAUAUCGUAAGGAAGACCAGUGGCGAAGGCGGGUCUCUGGACAGUUCCUGACGCUGAGGCACGAAGGCCCAGGGGAGCAAACGGG